UACGAAGGGGGCUAGCGUUGCUCGGAAUGACUGGGCGUAAAGGGCGCGUAGGCGGAUGGCACAGUCAGAUGUGAAAUUCCCGGGCUUAACCUGGGGGCUGCAUUUGAUACGUGUUGUCUUGAGUUCGGAAGAGGGUCGUGGAAUUCCCAGUGUAGAGGUGAAAUUCGUAGAUAUUGGGAAGAACACCGGUGGCGAAGGCGGCGACCUGGUCCGACACUGACGCUGAGGCACGAAAGCGUGGGGAGCAAACAGG
rnacentral:rRNA from 1 species